ensembl:lncRNA
UUUUAUCUCAGGAUUCGGGGGGGGAGGGGAGGGUGAAAAAUGUACGUUUUCCAAUUCUAACACGUUUUUCUUCUCAAGGAGUGCGGCACAUUGUACUGUUUGGGUGGGGUGCUCAUGCGUUCAGAGCAGUUUGGUGCUGGUUCCCAUAUCUCAUUUUCAUAUGGUACAACGUAACGUGAGCCUCUGCACCUGACCCAGAAAGCGAACUUAACAGCUAAAAUUGCUGAGGCGAAUGAUGGUGAUCUGUUAAAUUUAGAAAUGUUUGGCAGCGCUUUUCCAGUCUUAAUACGUUCACAGGUGUGGUUUGUUUCUUUUCUGUGCAGUAGCAACCUGGUGGGGCAGGAAGCUUGAAUUUCUGGUGGAUGCGUUAUGUUAAAACGACUGGAAUGGAAGUUAUUGAGUAUGUGACUAAUGUAGAAGAAUCCUGUAUAAUAGACACUACUUAAUGUGUUACAUAAGUAACGUGAGGUGGAGCCUGGUUGCAUAAGAAACAGCUGGGAAUGGGGGAGCUGCUGUACGCAGUCCGUAUUAGCUGCAAUUAGAGCCUGCAGGUUAUGUGUGCCGGGGAGGGGAGCAGUGGGCUUGGACAUCUGAUAGUGCUACAUUUUUCCUUUGUACCAGGAAAGAAAUAGAGAGAGUAAUAAAGGAUGACAGUGCAAAGCUUUUUGAAGUUUGGAAUCUCAUCUGAGCUUAACUUCUGUGAUGUACGCUGCUUCCUGAAAGAAACCCCCCUUUUUUUUUUGCAUGUCAGAUGGUGGCUGUCAGCUGAGCCUUGCAGCAGCCAGUUCUGUGCAGGGUACUGCAAAGAGCAGGAUUCUUGAUCCUAGAGGUUGUUAACGCUGUUCAGAAAAACGAAGCAGUGGAAGUAGUGUUAGGAGGAGGCCGUUGGUUUGUUGACCCAACAUGUAAGUGACUGGAUUAUUGUUUCUUCCUGUAUAGACAUACUAUAGCACAAGGUAAAUAAUCCCUUUGUAAUAGAAUCUUCUAGAGAAGCUUCUAGAGCGCAGCAAUUCUUACGAGAUAGAACAGAUUUUAUUUGGGACCUGACAUGAAUAUUUCCUGGCUAUGUACUUAGUGGAGAGUGUUAAUGUGAACUGAAGAUGACGAAAAACACGUUCUACUUCAUUAGCACUUGCAUUUAGGCUUGCAUUCCGUGAUUACAGAGUGGGGAGCAGUUGUCUCUCUCACUGUAAGGGAACAAACUGAAUACUUACGUUCUUACAUAAGUAGCUCAUAGAAUACUCAGAAAUCAAAAGUUUCUAUGUGGUAGAGAGCUUCAAUUCGUAAAGAAGCCUUUUAGUCAGCACCUAUUAAUACCAGAUUUAGUUUUAGGAAUUAAGAGCUGAACUUUCUUAAAAGUUCUGUGUAAUGGGUAGCUUGUCACAGAAGCACUCGAACUGCAGAGUAGUCCUUCUGUUCUUAUGACACAACAGAAAUGAAGGAAUACUCUAAUAAUAAUAUUUUUGUUUGUUUCAGGGCAGACCUGUUAGCUGUUUUCAGGGAAGCACUGUCUUCUUUGAGAAGUGAUAACUUUCGUGGUGGUGUAGCACAGUCUUGAAAUUAUGUCUGUGAUGUAUUCUGAAAUUACUUCUGCUGCAGAUGAAUAACAGCAAAUGCACAUACUGCUUUGAGACAGAAACCUAUGGGAAGGGGAUUUGCUUGAAGGCCAGUCUGUAAGCUGUGCCUUUAUCUGGAAGGUAUGGGAAACAAAGGAAGCUGUAGGAGAGGGAGGUGUUUAAAAAGUAGUUCGUAUUUAUGGUAGCCAACCAGGGAGAGAAACAGUUUCUACUUAACUGUAAUUCUUCCCUUUUACUGAAGGCAUUUCAAUUGGCUGUGUGUUCUCCAGCAUUUAGACCUGUGGUCCUAACUUGCUGCGGUAGCCUGUCUGUGCAUGUGUAUAUGGUUUGUGCUUUUGCUAAGACCUGUUAUUUAAACAGUACUGUUUACAGUACUAGUCAUAUGAAGACUGACAAGAGUUCAAGGGUACGUAGAGGAGAAGGGAGAGAGGGAUACGAAGCGUAAUAGAUCCGAGUGUGCAUUAAUGCCAUAGCUGAAGCAGUGCUCAUGCUGAAAGAUGAUCCUGUACCUCUUCCCAGCUGUUCAUUCUUGCUUCUACGCUACCCCCCCCCCCUUUUUUUUUUUUGGAAUGGCACAAGUGUUCAUGUGGGAAGUGGCACAGGAGAACAGAUUUAGUGUAAGCCUGAUUAGAAUGGAUCAUUUUUUAACGUGAAGGUUGGCUGCAUGGCUUCACAAACAGUCCUGCUUGAACAGGAAUAGGAAGAAGCAGCUGCAGGGAGAAAGAAUGGAGAUGUGCAAGUUUUACCUGUUUGGUUUUUUUUUUUUCCCUUAUUAAAGAGGCAAUUCUUAAGGAAUCGAAGUGGCAAAUCCUAACGGCAGUUUUAGAGUCAGAAUCACUAUAAUCCUUGCUUAAGGAGUUGGGCAUAUUUUUUUUAAAAAUGUAUGUAAGGUAUUACUAGGUUGACCUACAGUUGUAGGAACAGCAGGUGGCAGGGUCAUUUCAGAUGCAUUGAUAGGAUAACCUACAAAAAUGUUCCGGCUAAAGCUGGGAAAGAACAGAAUUCCAGUUAAGAGUUCACAGGACUUUUGAACUUAAUGAGCUUAUUUCAUUGGAACAGCAUGGAACUUGAGGGAGGCUUUCUUGCUCCUGAAGUGAUUGGUAAUGUAAUAACUGAACCGCUUGGUGAAGAAUUAGUUGUACUGGAAGAGUUCUAAGCUAAUCUUUAAAAAAAAACUUGUCAUCUCAGUGGGUCACAAUGGUCUCUUGUCAAAUUAGUAUGUGUUGCUUGCACGUCCAGUGACUUUCUACUGAGCAGAAACCAAUCAGUGUCAACAGAUAUUUCCACCUGGAUUUGGAAGGACUGUUUGAAGAGCAGCAGGACAGGAGCAUCCUUUGCGUGCAACUUGAGGGUUUGUGUUAGGAUAAGCUUUAGUUGACUCAGAAGGAGUAGUAAGGGUUCUCUUGUGGUCAAGCGUGGAAGCACUGUUUGACAGCUUGUUAAUGAUGUACAAAUAUGCAGCAUUCCUUUUUCAACAGUAAAGUGCAGCUGCAAUGCAGCAUUACUUAAUGUUUCUAGAAAGGAUUAACUUCAGAAGACUGCUGUAGUCCUGGUCAGUGUGGCCUAUUCAAAAGUACACAAUUAGGAUGUCUAACUGCUGUAUUCAGAGUGGGAAGCUUUCUGACUGGCUACAAUCAUGUUUCCUUCUUGCUAACCUCAGUAGGUUGACAACUAAUGAAACAUUGUGUUGGUGAAGCUUUGUACAAUUCUUUGUACAAUGAUUAGUAUAUGUACUUCUUCUUGGUUGGUUGUCGUGUUCAGGUCUUUGGUAGCCACUGGGUGCAAUGCUAAUACACUUGCAAUAUACCAAACCCUUACGAGUCCAAGGCUAACUUGUGUGGCCAAUCUGGGGUGUCACUGUCAAAACUAGUGGGGGGGACACAAGAAGAGGGAAGAGCUGUGUGGAAAAUAAGUACUUGACAUCUAGUUCUGUCUUGUUCCUGCCUCCCAUGUUUCUGCCCUCCCCGAUUAGAUCACUGUCAUGUGGUUCCCUAAAUUUAAGUGAAAAAUGAACUGGAGAUUUAUAGUUGUGCUGCUGUUAGUGUAACCUAAGCUGUAGCUUUGGUCCGGUCUUCUACCAGGAUAAUUCUCUUCUAAGUGCUGAACUGGGGUAGUUGUGCUGCUCCAUUUUGGGCUGUAAUGUUUGUACUGCUGUCUUAUCUGAGACAGGAGGUGUCCCUCCAGGAAAAACAACGGGCCUUCUAAUUAAAAGACUUAUUGAGAGCAUGUUUUUUAAUACUGUUACUACCCCUGUACUGAUUUCGAAGGCUGCUUUUUGAUGAAAUGAAACUGUUGCUUUUGUCAAGGUAGUACUGCACACUGAAUUUGUCUCCAGAGCUGCGUGCCAUCAUCUCAGUGCUCAUACACUGGAGCAGGCAUAUCGUAAGCUUAUAAAGGCAUGCUGGGCAGUUGUGAGAUCCUAUUUUUAAACUGCUUCUGAGAAACACUUCUGUCUACUGUCUCUGCACAAGCAUAGGAAAGAAUAUACUUCAUCUAGGAGCCACGGUGUCUGCGCUCAACUGACAGCAGUUUUUGAACUUGAAGUGUCUCCUCUUUAGAAGAGAUAAUACAUUUGAAUCUGUGCUGAUUUCUUCUGGGGAGGGGAAAUGACCGUAACGAAGAGGUAGUGGCAGUGGGCCUUUGAGUUCUUGACUUCACGUACCUGUAGCAAGAGAUGGAUUUGUGGUACCUGACAGAGUAACCAAAUGUGAAGAGGAAGAAAUUGGGUUGUUGAAUCACCUGCUUUGCUGUGCUUAAAAAUGCAGGAAUGUUUUUGGUGGUACCUCUUGUGAUGAGUCUGGGACAUAGCAGGUUUUCUUAGCCUGCUGCUGACUUGUGAAAACUAUUACUGUAAUUCUGUAAUACUACCAUGUCAUACCCUUAAAUUUCCAUUGACUUGAAAAUUGCAUAAAAAUGCAGGUGGGUUUUAUAUGCAAGUAAAAUAGUUUUUCAAGGUUUUUCUUCUCUUUCCCAGAUCAUCUACUUAAGGCUAAACUUUAAAUAUAAACACUGAAUGUAGGUGUGCAGCAUUCUUGCUGUAGCACUGAGGGACUCCUGAAAUUGGAGGACUUUUUCAGGGUGUAUAUAUAGUAUGUUGUUUGGGGCAAAAAUAGGGAAUAUAAAGGAAGCAUUUAGAUUGUUUUCUUUCUUUUAAAUUUGGUGAGCAGGAAUAUUUCAGAUGAGGCUAAGUACUAUGAACAAGAAGAAAAAAACAUGCUGCUGUCAGAUGGAUUAUAGAGAGCAAAUUCAACCUACUGAAUUCUACAUGUCUUAGAGCUUUUUCAUCAGGUGACUCCUAAAACUACAGUUGGUAGUGUAGACCUAAUUAAUGGGAGGGAAUGGUUGUCACAAGGUAUUAUUAGGACUGUGUCCUGAAGGCUGUAGUUAAGCCUGCACUAUUUCUCAGAGUUGACUGUGCGUAUUUCUGUUUCACUAUUUUUUCUGGAACAGGCAAGCUGCUCUUCUACCAUUUCCCCCCGGCUAUUGUGCUGCAAGUACUAUUGGUCUUGCAAGCAGCUGUUAGCUACGUUGGUUUAUCUUUUAAUUCAGUAGCAUAACUCCUUGGUAAUCCUGUUCAAGUAAAUAGGAGUAGUUAUCUGCUGUUCUUCUUGGUGUUGGUUAUCCAGAUUUUGCCUUCUAGGCCAAAUGCUAGAACGUACUUGGAGAGCUUUUUGUUAAAGCUGUCAUAACCCCAUCCUACAGUUAGCAAAGCAAGGUGAUCGUUUGGGGAGUAUGACACUUUCUCCUGCUUACGUCACUUUACUUAAACAUAUCUUAAUUUUAGUAAUGCAGUGAUACUGCAACAAUGUUCCAGCAGCUCUACCCACUUUAGUAAGUUAGUGAGAAUAUUCAGGCAGCACUCAGGGCCUGUUCUGUUCACUUUAAUGGCUCUGCUACCUAGUCUGAUCAGAACUAUAGGCCUACAUCGCAAACUUUCCACUUGACUAAUGCUCACAUCCUUACAGUAUAUUUUGUAAGUAGCACAGCACAAAGUAAGCAGAGAUCAAACUGUCUGUAGCUGCUCCUAUCUAGAUGUGACUUGCUGGAAGGUACUUCUGCUUGUCUUUAAGUGCUGCAUAAUGCAUGGAUUUGUCCAAUAGGCAGCCUGUGUAUUUGACAGGAAGUGUCUUAUGCUUCUCCUUUUUGCUUGAAUAGCGUUGAACAGCAAUUAUACACUGAUUGUGCUCAUUACAAGUAAAUUCCACAUCCUGUUUAGAAUAGGAUGUACAUAUGAACAAGUACAAAACAUCUGUUGCAUCUUCCUAGAAAUAGCAUCUUGCAAACUUAGAUAUUUCAGCUUCACAGCUGUUCAGAAGCUGUUCUGUAUUUAAAAUUCAAAGCCUUUAAAGGUUGUAUGAAAUAACAGUUUAAAAUAAGUCGCUUUUUCUUUUUUUUUCCCCAGUAUGAUGUAAAAAUACUGUUCUGGAGUUGAUGCUUCCUGCCCUUCUGGGUCAUCAGUCUGUUCAGUGGUGUUCUCCACUCCAUACAGACUAUCAGAGUUAAAAAACAAACAAACCUGGACUGGUUGUUGAAAAGUCCAGUAGAUUUUUCUGUUUCUGCACCUUUCUAAAACCCUACAUUGAGUCUGAUUUUUGGAUGUGCCCACUUGGCCUUGGAGCAAAUAAGAGGUUUUACAACUGUUCAGAAACUCUUUUACUGUAGCUCUUAAGAUGGAAUCUUGCUCUACUUGUCAUACGAUAAAUAAUGAGAUGCUUUGUUGAACUCAGUUGUUUUUCCUUUACAUUUGUUUAACAUGCGAGCAUUGAGACUUAGGUUUUUUUGACAGUUCAGUUAAGCAAGAACAUGUCUGACUUGUGUUAUUUGUUACAAGCUCCCUUGAUGUGGAAUAUUCCCUGUUCAGAGGAGACUCCUGGCCUUCUUGUCUUUUGCAGGAAAGAAAGGAUGAAAUGCAUUCUCUUGCAAGCAGACUUUAAAAAUGUCAGGUAUCCAUUAAAUCUGGUUAAACAAACUGUUCUUCAGUGCAUGAAAGAUGAAAGGGUCAAAAGCCAGCAUAUCAAUACAUGUGGAUGGCCGUGCUUACAAAUAUUUACAGACUACCGAAGGGAGGAUGGUGAGUGAAGGCUUCUACAGGUUAAGGCAUCUGUUUAGAGGAAAGAGUAAAAGUAGAGAUGGGUUGAAGCAAAGAGUGUAUUCCCAGUGCUAACUGGAGGUGUUUUUAAAAAACAAACAACAAAAAAGAGCACCUGAGUGAAAUUUGUCUGUAUUGGGCAGAAAAUGAGCAGGCCUAACCUGUACUUCUUGAACAGCAUACAACUUUUAAGUACCUUCAGGCUAUGUCUAGAGUCAAUUGUAGAAUUGAUUAGAACAGAGGUAUUGUAUGCAAGUGCAGAGUUUUAAAUGACUGAAAGUUUGGAGGAGAAUCUUCUCUGUAUGGAAAACAUCCCUAUUUCAAACACUUGUGCUGCAUUGUGCAUCACAUGAUUGCUGGUUGUUGUGUAAUAGGAAAGCAUGGGUAGUUUUUUUGUUUUUUUGUUUCUUCCAUUCAUCUUAGGGAGCUUGUGAAGGGAAACAUAGAGUGGGGUUGUUUUUAGCUAUAAUUUCCUUUCUUCUGGGAGCUCAUAUCUGAACUGUCAUGGAUUUCUAGCACUUAAUCUGCCAGGUGGAAUACCUUGGUUUCCUGCCUAUAUAGGCAAUUUAAGUAUGCUCUGGGGGUAGUGGGCAACUUGAAGCCCUCUUUCCAUGAGGUGAGGAGAAUGUUUAUUGAUGGUUUCCUUCCCUAGUUUUCUGCGUGGGUGCAGCUAGGUGUGCUUCGCUGUGCCAUGGGGUUAGCACAUAAGAUCUACUUAAGCUCAAGUUUAAGGGCUCUUAAUUUCAAAACUUAAGAUAGUUUUGUUGGCAUUUGAAUGAUAGUGUGAGUUAUUUCUAAACAUCAAAGGAAAGUAACCAUGCUGGAGACUUAAGUUCGUCAAAGAGCUGCAAUUUUACAUCCAAAUUCCCACUUGUCAGCCAGACUAAUGCAAAAUCAGCUUGCAUAUUUCCUGUGCAGUGAAUGGAUAGUGUGAAGUACAUAAGCCUGGAAACCAGCUGAAUGGAAAGGAGGAAGAUUGGCCAAGAGUAAACAAAAAGAGGUGUUGAGUUGUAUCUGUGUUUUACUUUGAGUGCUGUUUUGAAGCUAGAUGUUCAUACCAAACUCAACUUUGUCCAGCUUUUUGCAAUGGCAGAUGUUCUAACCAGAUCAGUGGCCUUGUUACAUGGAGAUGGGAUGAUGAAGCCUCUAAGUAAGCCCUGAAAUAUUGUGCAUGUUCUGCAUCACCUAAAAUUGUCUGUAGGAUAUAAGCAGUCACUUUUUCUUUACUAGUCACAGUUUGUAGGAAUUUAGCUUAUGCUUAUGGGUAGAAGUCAUGGAAAAUGUGUUCAGCGGCAGCAAACUGUAUGUGUUCUUUUCAGUCUUUUUCACUCACACUGUUUGCAUUUACUUUGAGUUUUCUCUAGGAUGUGGUACCCAGCAUAAAUACAAAGGUGUUUGUUUUCUUUCUCUUCCCAUGUGGAAUAGAAACUGUUAAAACUGCUGAUUUUUUUCCCUUCAGUGCAAGAGGUGCCUGAAAGGUGAAAGUCAGUGCUUGAUUCCACAAGUCCGAGUCCUGUCAUCUGUACUUGCUGCUUAACUGACUUCUCAGAUACGAACAGAAAAAAAGAGCUGUAGUUUAAAAAUAUAACAACAAGCUCAUUUCUGCCCUCUGAAAGUAAACUUUCCUGGGACAACCUCCUGAUCUGUUUGGAAAAUGAGAAAAAGAUUCUGGGCAAAAAGCAAGGCUUCUGUGAUUGUUUGCCCGGAGUGUAAAUAUUUCAUGCUUCUCUGAAUGCUUGUGUGGCCUAAAUCUUGCAGCACUGCCAUCUCAGCUAUUCUUAGGUUUGGGGACCAGGAGAAGUGCUCGUUUCCUGUCUUCCCCUCCCCCAGAAUCUCAGUUACCUUGAACAAGGAGGAAAAACGCAACCCGCAGCUGCUUUAUCAGUUCCAGCUGAAGAAUGAUGCCAGUCUGUCCUCACCUGUUGUGGAAGGAGUAGGACAGCAUAGCAGUUACACUGCAGCACUCUACCUAUUUUCUUUUCCAGGAAUGCAAAGGCAUUGCACUUCUCAACUAAUAUUAGAAUGCAGCUUAUCUGAGAGUUAUACGUGGCUUCUCCAAAGUGUGGUUAUUACAACUCAUAACUAGAUCUACUUCUCUGAUUGCCGUCUUUGGAACUUUGAUGCUGUGCACAGGCCUGAGCAACGUGAGAAAUCAGUGAAACAGAGUGUCAUAGUACCCCUUAGUGUAGUGUGAAUGUAUGUAGGUAACAGCCAUUAGUGUCUGUCAGCUGCUGCUUCUCAUCCAUAGUUACAAAUUACUUGUACACGUAGGAGCGAUUUAUAGGUACAGGUAGCAGCGCCUGUUUAGUCUCUGCAAUGUCAAACUGCUUCCCUACUUAAAAAAACAGCACACAAACAAAAAAGCCUCCACCAACAACCAUACAAAUCUUAAUUGCCAGCUUGAGCCAUAGCAGUAUGAGGAAGUCCAUGGUAGCCCCUCUGGUUUUCUCCUAAGGGAGAAAUUUAAAACAAAAGAAAACAUAUCCUCUGUCUGUAGUUGCUGUUUUGAAAAGUAAAAUAGCAUAACGACAGUUCUCUUGCUGCAUACGUUUAUUGGCAGUGGUACAUGGGUGUUAAAAGUGGGGAGAGAAGAGUCUGGGGUAUUGUGUUGAUCUCGCAUUUGCAGUCAAAGUGUAUGUACCCUUGAUAUAAAUAAUCUCUCUUCCUGACAAAUCGAUCUGCAGCAAUCCACCUAAGGUGUGAAGCUUCUUGGUGCUGCAGAAUGUGUGCAGAAGUGGCCUGGAAUCACUUGGGCAAGAGGCAGAUAGAUAGUAGCUUUGGCAUGGAGAAGAGUCCCCGUGUGUGGAGCAUAGCUGGAAGCAGGAGGCUUGUCCUAGCAUGCUCCUCCUGCAGCUUCUGACUGUCACUAGUGGAUAUAAGGGAUCUUUCAUUUCAGUGUUAGGUGUAUUUUGCACGGUGUACUUUCCUCUUACGUAGCAGUGGUGGUCAUGCUCUAUUUGCGGGUGUUGGUUUGCAGUUUCAUUUGGGGUUUUGUUUCACUUAAAGUUUGGUUGUGAAAACUGGAUAGAUCUCAGCUGCUGGCUGUAAUUCUUUCUGCUGAAGUAAAAACGUAAUAAUGCUAGCAUUAGCUGCUUUAGCUAUGAGAAGAGGAUACAGACUGAGAAAAUGUUGAACUUCAGGAGAAAAAUGUCUGCUUCCAGAAAGACUUACAGCCUGUUGCAUCACUGCUUAGGCACAGACAGUAAAGCCUUAAUCCUCCGGUGUCUGAUUCAUGCUAAUUCAGUGUUAAAGAGGCACAGCGCUGUGGUCACUUGGCUACUGAGAUUCUUGAGCCGUUCUGCUUUGCUCAGAUAAAUUCCUAAAUUGUGCAUGAAAACCAAGAAGUUUGUUGCUAAUUGAAUGCUUUCUACAGGCUUGUGAUUUUAGUUUGCAGUUUGUGCAAAGUAGUUUUAAUGUCUUUAUGGUAAUGUUAUAAGAAGUUAGUAAUAAGGUAGCAACUGUGUGAACACCUAUGAAGUGUGAUGCGAGUAUUGACUACCACUAUUGAAAAGAUAUAAAGGAAACAUUGAACAGUGCAUGUGCUACAGCAGUAAAUAAAUCACCUGAAGGACAGUAACUUAAGUCAACAUAUGUUCCUUUUAAGCUGUAGGAUCUGCUACUGCAUGCGAGUCUGUGGGUACUGAAAGGUCUGUAUGUAAGUGGAACUGGUAACACUACCCAUGUUCUCAGCUUUUUAGCUUCCCAGAAAUCUUAAUGAUGAAGUUACAGGUGCUGCGUUUUGUUCUCAAAGGCAGUAGAAUCCGAGCAGGGGAAAUCAUGCUCCAUUCUUGUUUACAUGCUGUAGAAUAAAGGCUCUUGCUUGUGAGAGCUUACCGAAUGUUUUCCAGGCUGUGAUCCUUUCAUGGGAAAGGAGUGUAUCUAAGUAGUGGGUGGGGUUUAAGAAGCUUUUGUUUCAAAAUGAGCCUUUCACAAUUCUUGAUGCUGGUCAGAUUAUACAUACCUCAGCUGUAUGAAAUAGAUGCAACUUAGCCAUGUGUAACAAAGCCUUUUCACACGUAUCUCUUGCAGGCUGGGAAUAGCAUUAACUAGAUCUAGAAGAGACUUGAGUGAAUUCUUCAUAUAAUGCGCGCUCAAGGCUACUCUAAGCUGAAUGUAUGAGUGUGUGCUGCUGCUGUUAAUCGCCUCUAAUUGCAGUAAUGUUUAGGCAAGAAAAGAAGCCACUUGGUUCAAAGGAGCUUUUUGAUGGAAGGUCAACAAUAAUAAGCAGGAAACUAAGUGGUGGGUUCACAUAUACGCAUAACAAAUAAGGGUGAAGGACUGCAUUAAUAAGGGAAGGAAUUGGUGAGUUGAUGAUUUUGAACAGAGCUAAUCUGGAAGUAGAGGGGUUGUUUGUGAAGAACUACCUUCAGCAACUGUGAGUGAAAAGUGAGUCCUGUGUGGGGACCUGCUGAAAUGAAAUGGUUGUCAUCUAAUGGCAUCAAGAAGUCAGUGCAGAACUCUGGGCCUGGAACCACAGAAUUGGCAAAAGAUCACUAAGGUGCUUGAUGGGAUUGUUUGCUUGGCCUUGAGACUGGAGGCGUCAUGGAGUGAUGCUAGAUGGAGGAAAGAAGUCUGUGUCGGUACAACAAAGUGUGGAGCGAUAGCAGUAGGACCGAGCUGAUGGUGACUGCAGUUGUGUUGAUGGAUGCUGAGCGCGCGCUCUGAGCAGGAGACCGCUCUGCUCAGUCAGUAGAGCACUCUUUCCCACACCUCAGUUUUUGAGACAGGGCCCAGUGCAGACCCGACUACGAUCCUUCAAAAUAGAAGGGAGCUGUUGUAUGUUGUAGAACAUAAACCUUCCAAGCCCAUGUUGCUACAGAAACAAUUAUUUUAUUCACUUCUAUUCCAACAGUGUAAGUGGGUUUUCACACGUCACAUCAGUGCCUCACAUCAAGGGCUUAAGUAACGAGAAACUAAUCACAAGUUAUUAAUGAAAAAGGCUUCAGGAAUUUCAUCCUUUUGGAAAUCUAAGGCACAGAUAGGGGGCAAAAUCUCAAAGGCAUAUUGUUAAACAUUUACCGCAAGAUGCUAUUAGCUGUAGACUCAUUAGCUUGUCACAAUUUAACAAAACUAUUUCUACAGCAAAUAUGAAGCAGGCUUUGUCCUUUGUUUACAACUUGACAAGGAAAAAAUUAGGCAACAGCAUGUGGCCUAUAAUUACAGACUUUGUUAAACAAGAGGUCUGGUUGUUCAGGCAGCCUGUUCUGAUGCUUCUCAACUUCUUACUGUUUCAUUUUGUAGAGUUACAAUAGAGAUGAGCUGAACUUGAUUUUCUGCAAAUGUUUCUUCUGAGCAUCAAACAUUUCUCACUUUCAUUUCAUGGGUCGAAACAAUGCAAUUAAAACAAUGGGCUUAAUGACAGAGCAAGUCUUGCUUCAUCCCCCACUCCUUUCCGUGGUAGCUCCAGUACUUCACAAGUUACUCCUAAUGCUGGCAGAGAAGCUGAUGUUUACAGCUCAGUCUGACGCUUUUUGAAUACAGUCUUCGGUCUUCUCUAGCAAAUUAGAACCAGAUGGGAACGGUAGGGAGCAGAAUGGAAUUCAAUUCUGUUUUGUGGCUUGUGAUGUUAACAAAACUCUUAGGUUUUUUGAAUUGUUAUUUUGGCAAGAAAAUGGCUGGUAAUCCUUCUGGUCCAAUCACUGUAAUGUGCAGUUUCCUUCCAGUGCAUUGGGCUGUAUGCACUCACUGCGAUGUGUUGCUUUGCUUCCACCAAAGUGGUGGACUGCGGUAUGAGCAUAUUAGAGAUUCUUUUUUUUUCCAAGUAAAAGGAUCAAAAAACAGUACAUCCUGACAGGAAAGUGUUUUCUCUGCUCAUCUGACACUGCUAAUUCUGAAGCAAAAUGCCUUUUGCAGCUCUUUUGUCCUUUUCUCCCUACGCUGCCCUAACUGAAAGUGCCUGAAGUAGUAGAGGAAUACAUAGUGGCGUUUGAUGAGGGAGAUGGACUCGGUCACACCAAAGUGAAAUGGUCACGGGCUCUUCAGCACAAACAGGAAAAGGACUUUUUCAUGUAGCUACUGCUGUGCUGCUUAUGCUGGUUGGUGCACUCUCAGGAAGAGAUGCAAUCUGGUGAAUCACAGAAAUGACACUUCCUGUUGGGCUGUGGGGAUUUUCUUACAGCUUUCCUGUGUAGCCACCGGAGCUGGUUUUGUGUAGCCUGUGUGCCCAGACAAGGGCUGCUCAGAGACAGAAGCCAAACAGUUAUACAUAGAGUGUAAUAGUUUCUGACUCAAAGUGUGUGAUAAUUGCAAAAAUAUUGUAGGGUGUGGUAGGAAGUGCUGUGUCUAAUAUUGCUGAAUAGCUGUCACUUCGUAAUUUGCCUAAAAGAACACAGUAUGCUAACUCUAAUUAACGUACAGAGGUGGGGGAAAGCUUUGCUUUUCCCUCAUCACAUGGAACCUGUUAAUGUGCAAGAAGUUGUUCCAAUACGCUGGAGUUGUAUUGAUUUUCUUCCAGUUGUUCAAUCUUAAACUCCAUUAUUUCUGAUUUCCUACAGAAAGAAAGUCUGCAUGCAGGAGAGAAAGUUAUAGCUUCAGAAAGGUUACUUGGGGCAGUGAGUAUUGGAAGCAGUGGUAAAACCUCAAAUUACUAUCAGAUUUCACUCGGAAUUGAAAAUAUGUAAUGAAAAAGCAUAGUUUAAAAUAGUCUGUAUCAAUUGACUAUUGUGAAAUACAUAGCUGGUCUUAAACAGUUAUUCUUAGAAAUAUUCCUAACAGUUUCUUACAAUACUGUAUUCUAGUAUCAAAAACAAGACUGAUGCUGUUACCCAGCACACACUCGAGGAGAAUUUAUGUAUAUCCUGCUGCUUUGGUGAUUUUCUUAAUAAACUGAGUGUCACAACUUCAAGAGGUGGACAGACAGGAGAGAGGGUGGUCAUGCUUUCAGGCAGAUAACUUCAAUGCAUGAGAUCUUCAAGAAGAACAAACAUAACUGACACUAUUUUUCAUAGUAAUCCACUCAAUUAAAUCUUGCACUUCUGUAAAGCAGUGGCAUGCUCUGCAGUGCUUAGAAAUAUCAGCCUGCUGCUUUCUGGGAAGCAUAUUCCCCCGGGGCUUAAGUUCAGGGCUGAGUCUAAAGACUCUUAAUGCCUUUAUUGUGCUGUCUCUAUGAUACAACGCAGGCGUUUGUGAUGGAAAUAUUUCUGUGGUCAAGUGGAAGUUCUUUUCUUUUUUUUUGGGGUGGUCUGUUAGAUAAAUGGGAAUGCUUUUGAUACGAAUACAGAAGCUUUCUGAAUGUGGAAUACUGAAAUGAUGCAUUACUCCUGCAUGCAAUUUUGUUACUUCUUACCUGGUGUUGUCUUUUUACCCCAGUGCAAGGUGUGAGCUCUGGAAGAAGAAUCCUUCCUCUCCCAUGUUUUAACCUUUGCUGUACUUGCUCCAGUCCUUGUACAGCAAACUGUUUAUUGUGGUGGACUGUGUUCUGGUGCACCUUCGAGGAAGUGAAAGAGUUAAUGCAGGAUUUGGAUUAGAGGACCGCCUAGAUUUCUCAAUGUAGUAUCUUACAUUCAGCUUCCAAAAGAGACUGUUUCAUAGGAUAAUCUGUGUUUCCCAGUGUUUUGAACCUAAGUGUUGCCACUGCCCUUUGAGUUGUCAUUUCUGGGCUCAGGUGAUCCUAAAACAUGAGCUAGUAUGUAAAGCUCUGCUUGAAAUGCAGUCCUCACACCAUUUUCAGUAAGCAGAACUAAUGCUUCCAUUCCUAAAUGAAGUUCUUGUUUGGAUAAAAAGGGCUAUAUGUUUUAAUUAGAUACAACUAAGGUCCAUGUACCUCGUUUCAGAUACUGAGAUUUUUUUUCACAUAUUUUUAAAUGAAAAUAUUCCUUACUGCUGAAUGACAGCCAUGUAAACUGCUGCUAGACUGUGUGAGUAUUUGUUCAAGGAAAAGCAUGUUUUCAGAGUGUGGUUUUCGGACUUCCAGACUGAUUACACAAGCUCAAGAAGGCCCACCCCACAUCCUGUGUAGAAAGCCAGUUCACAGAAAUGCCCAUUGUUCAUCAGGAUUAUAAGUCACUGUACUUUCUGCCCGGUCCCUUUUUCAAAGCACUAUAUAGAAAAUCUUAAUGUAAAUGAACUCCAGCAGCUUAACAAGUGCUUGGUCCUGCCAGGUACUGAGCACUCUGCUUAUACUGAAAUGGAGGGAGGGGGGAAUAAACACACUGGCCUCUCUGGCUAGAAAACAAAGGUGUUGUGUUGAUUAAAAACAGCUGAGGAUGUUCUAUUCUGUGAAUCAAUUGAUAAUUUACGUACUUUGAGCCUGAAAGUUGCAGCAGCCAUGCCGGUAUUUACUUUCUUGGGGAGAAGAGAGGAGUUACAAGGAAUGCAGUUUGCUGCAAGCCUGGUAAAUUUGUCUUGGCAGUGCUUCCUCCCUGCUCACUUGCUAAUGUAAAAGGAGGAUGGGGUGUCUGGGUCUCAUAUCCCACAGUGCUGAGAUCUGUGCUGUUCUACCUACGAGUUAACUGGGCCUACCCAUGAAGAAGGAAGCUAUUGAGUACUCACAGUACUCACUCAGCCUUUUUUUUUUUCCCUGCUUCCCCUAAGCUAUCAUCUUGGAGAAUAUAUUUUUAAAAGGUGAGGUGCAGUUUGUCAUGUAACAUUUUCUAACAGGAAAAAGUGUUUCAAGAUGAAUUUUAAAUCUUAUUCAGUGUGUGUGUGUGUGUGUGUGUGUAUACAUACAUAUAUAUACACACUGAAUAAAAACACCAAGCACUGAUGUUGCUUGGUAGAGUUCAGUAUGUGUUUAAGACCAAAAUAUCAGUUACAAUGCUGUUGAGCACAGGCCUGCCAGGGGAAUAUUCAAGACUGUAUUUUGCUUUACAGCGGUCCUCUGAAAGGAAUCACCUCUCUCCAGUUGCUGCCAGUCUCCUGACUGUUCAGCAUUCCCCAAACAUGUGGCCCAUAAAAUGGGAUUAUAAGGGAAGGCAUUCAAGUAAACAGAAGUUCCCUCAGGACAAGAUUUGCUUUCUCAUGUGGAGCUGCUGCAUGCUGCAGCCUGGCUGCUGCUGGCCCCAUCCCUGGCCAGGGCCUGGCACUGCUCCUCCAAGUGAGCCAGCUCUGACGCUGGCAGGGUGUACAGCCUGCCCCUGUCCUGGGGUAUACACUGUUCUCCUGAAUAGCUGGCACAGCAGACCCCCUUCGCUGUAUUUUUGGAAGGGCUCACCUGAUUACGAGUAAGGGGAACUCACCAUUUCUGUGUCUUUUCUGUGUCUGCACGUAGUAGGAAAUGACUGGUCCCGUGGCAGGGAGCUAGCUGCCAAAAAUCUGCAGUGGGCUAUAUCCAGCAGUGACUGUACAGUACUGCUGAAGUGGCCCAGUGUGUUCAUGCAGUAUGUUCCUGGAUAAGUGGCUGGGUUUUUUUACAUCUGUGUUUCUUCGAACAGCAGUUAUAUUGGUGGGUAAUAAGGUGAUUAUCUCAGUGAUUGUGUGGUCCUGUCCAGCCUGUUUGUUGAAAGUGCUCAUCCUCAACUUCAGUCUGUAGUUUGAUCGCUCUCGGGUUCUCUGUUGAGUCAAAACAUUACAUCAGCCUCAGUGAGGAGCAUUCCCAGUCCUGCUCCCUCAUGGUCUGCAGCUGGUGCUGGCCCUGCCAAUUCACUCUGUGGUUGCUGCUUAGUAGGAUUAUGCAGCAUGAGAUAUAUCAAGGUACAGAACCUUCAGACUUUGUUCCUUUCAGCGUAUUUUCUUUCACAUUUAAAAAUAAAACCAUGAAUCUCAAGUGUCUUUUGUCCUUCUUUCUGGCCAGGGGAUGUUAGUUGUCACCCCGGCAAUGGUUCUGGUGGUAGAAGUCACCUUGUGCUCAUAGUGAGACUUCAGAAUCUGAUGGCCUUGUGUCAGCUUCUAGAGGUACCACUUUGUACGACAGUGUGGAGACUUCAGUCCUCAGAGGCUACAGCCAGAAAUGCUCCUUAAGACAAUAGGAGUUCAUCAGUUCACAUACGUGUGUUCCAGGCUGGCUGGGGUCACGUUGCUGAUGACCGUUAGUGGGGAGUGUUGAUUUCAUGGUCUGCGUAGGACAGAAUGCAGACUCGUGCCUCGGAGACUCAGCGUGGUUAUGUGUUUUUUCCAUUACCUUUCUUCAGGGGUGACUCUGAAGAGAAACUGUUACACUCAUUGCAGUUGGCCUUAGUGUGAAGCUUUGAACAAAUUCAGCAGUAAGAAUUCUGUUUUCUGAAGAAACCGAAGCCUGCAACUCUGCUUUCUCGUUCUGUACUGAGCGGCCCUGUGAGCAGAGAAACCAGCCCAGUUCCUGCCCUGCUCAGAAGUGGUGAUUUCAUGCACCUGCGUACACCCUACAUUAGUCUAAGCAAAGAAUUAUUUGAAGUUAAAAAUAGCUGUUCCAUUUUGCUUGUUGGUAGAAUGGGUUAACUUCUUUCCAAAACAUUCAGAAUGCGUAAUGCAUUUAUGAAAUCAAAAGUGGUACAUUCAGGGCCUAUAACUCACACCACAGACGACUGUGGGGUUGCCAGGAGUGACCGCACUCAGGAGUAAUGUCGGUGUCACAGGUGGGCAAAGCUCACGUAUCUGGAGGGUCCCGUUUGCUACGCUGGUGGGUAUGGGGUGCGUGAGAGAGCAGGCUGCCUUGGGUUAUGCUAGUCUACAGAUGGGACUACUGAUUAUUCUAGACCUUGAAUUCUCUUCCAGGUUGGAACUUUUUUGGAAGGCCUGUGGCUUCUGGGUGUUCUGUACUGAAGUCUAUUUAAAGCUGAGAGCUGCUUGUUUCUCAUUGUAUCUUCUAUAUAAACCAGUCACAUAUUCAUUAUAUUUCAAAUGUACGAGUGUUAAAAAACAGGAUUGUUAGAUCAGAUUUUCCAAAGUUUGAGGAGAUUAAUUAUAUUUUUAAUACAUCCAGGUUUAUAGGAUCUGCUGAAUUAUGAGGGAGAGUAAUGACACAAUUACUGUAUUUUCCAAACAUGAGGUAGAACAUAUAGAUCCAACAUCAGGGAACUGAAAACGUCUUGUGAAUAAUAACAGCAACACCUGCUUGUAUUUCACUUCAUAAUUUCUGUGUGGGGUCGUUCACGUUGUAGAAAAUGAGGUUUUAUGAACAAGCUUUUGAGGGCAAUGGUACGUUGCUAAGGCUGCAGUGUUUUAUGUUAUGCUGAGUGGAUUCUGUCUUGUAAAUCAAAGGAGACACAUAUCCAUGACCUCAGCUCCAAGUUCUGCAGUUAGCAUUGAUUUAAAUUAACAUGGUUUCUAUGGGAAAGAGCUUUUUAGAAAUCUUGGAAAAUUGGAGGUGUAUUCAGUGGAGGGCACGUGGCAGUGGAGCCCCGACUCUGGCUGCUGAGAGCUGCCCAUUUGGCUUCAGCAGGUUGUGCACUAUUAAACCUAACUGAAACCUGCAGAUGGGGCAUGCUGCUGAGUUAAGUGGAAUCAACAUAAUUGCUUGGUAAUAACGAGUUGUAAGCCAAGCAGAUAUCCUUACGGGAGUCUUUACCAAUUCAUUUCAACCUGUUCAGUAAUGUAGUGCAUCAUUUAAUGAUUCAGCAAAGUCGAUUGUGUUUCCCUGGUUAAUGCAAGCUUCCUUUCCUCCCCAGUUCACCUAGAUUGUGGCACUGGCAGUCAGGUGAGAGCGCUCAACUGAGCAUGCUGAUUAAGCAGAAAACUGAUCACUUUCCUUAUAGCAGCCAGUUGAUGCUUUUUAGCUCUGAAUUGGCUUCUCGUGGGGGUCACGUGAGUGCCAGGGCUAGUGCAAGUGAAGCAGGAUGGGGAACCUGCUGCUUUGUCAGCAGUCAGUGGUCAGAUUUUGUUUCACAGUUUUAUUGCUAAGUUUUACACAGCUCUCUGGAAAGCUGAGGACGUUGAAGGCGUUGCCUCCCAGCAGCUGAGUGCUGUGCUCUUGUAGGUACUGCUGCUCAGUUUCUCAGCUGCUCGGCCCAAAGGAGGGAACAGGCAGGGAACACAAAUGUGACUGAUUUCUUGCUUCAGGGAUCUGCCUAGAAAUUUCUAGGGUUGAUGUGGAGAAGUCUUACCAAUCAAGUGUGGUGCAGAUGAUCCUAUUUGUAUGUUUUCAUUCAGAUGAGAUGACACUGGUGCCACUUGUGUCUAGGCAAGUCUUGGUACAGGUUUGGACAGGUUUGUUUAGGCACACAAGCCAUCCUGAAGGAGAUUGGAGGCAUUCAGUGCAUUGCUCUGUAAAACAGAGUAGUAGUUAAAAAUAAAUAAAUAAAUAAAAUGCAAAAAGUGCUGGUUAAUAUCAGUGGCAAUGAACUAGUGUAACUCAGCAUGCAAAUCCCAGCCAGUUUUAUCUGGGUCAUUAGGCUGGUGUCAAAGUACUGAAAUCAGUUUUUAGACUGAGUAAGACAUUAGGAGGUCACCAUCACCUUGGAAAAAACCUUCAUUUUCCAUGUGAAGUUGAAAGGCCCUGAGCACCCUCUCUGAGGACUGGAUUUUACUGUUACAAGUGACACUAGAGAUUACUAAAACUGGAAGAAGUCAGAUGAACCAAACACUAUUUCAUUUUCUGUUUAGUGCAGUCGUUAGUGUUCUUGGCAGUGUUUCCUAUGUAUUCAGUUUCAGUGGGUUUUUAUGCUUGGUUGUGCUUCCUGUCUUAUAUAUUAGCAUAAUGAUGUCAUUCUUGUAUACCGCUGUGGGGGAGCAUGGUUGUAUGUUCUUCCUCAACCUCUGCAGGAAAGGCCUGGCCCUCAUGUGAGAUGACUUUGGUUCUACUUGGAUGUUUGAAAUCCACGUGGGAGGGUCCCCUGUUUUGUGAGCCUCUGUAUGGAAAUGUGGAGCAGAGCAGGAGGAGCGGGCAACAGGAUUUCAUGCUUUCUUCUGUAGGAGAGACUUGUAGGAUCGUCCAUCUUCAACUCCUGUCAGUGAGCAGCUGGAACCUUUGUGACCCCGUGUUGAGCUGUGGAAAGGCAGGAAUGGGCAGGGAAGCCACCUACCUCUGGAGCAAACAAAGCAAUGCAACCUCAGAGCAGGAGCGUCAGCCACAUCCUUGCUCCUUUGGCUGGGCACUGAGUGUGAGAGGAACCUACUGAGAAGGCCCCAUCUGCAUGGUGUUCUUUGGUGACCAGGAGAGCAGCAGGCACUGAGCAGAAUGUGUGAUUUGUUCUUCUGGCAUGUCCUAAGGAGGCAGCAAGUGUGGGAGUGGUUUUUCCAUGGGGAUAUCUCUGGGAGCAGGCAGGUCCCAGCACAUCUGGGCAGGUAGGCUUGGGCCUGCUGCUCUUGCUGUGGCCUGAAGCGCACAGCAUGCGCCAGCCUGGGCUGUACAACAGGAGCAGUCAUUAUGCAGAAAGCUUGAAAUGAUAGAAAUCUGCAUA